GCUAGCAGCCAUAUCACCCUGAAACUCACAGCUGCCAACCUGCUGAAGCUAAGCAGGUGUGAGCUUGGUCAAUACCUUAAUGGGAGACCUACUGGGAAAAACUAAGGUUGCUGCUGGAA
rnacentral:rRNA from 1 species